rnacentral:rRNA from 1 species
AGAGUUUGAUCAUGGCUCAGAGCGAACGCUGGCGGCAGGCUUAACACAUGCAAGUCGAACGCAUCCUUCGGGGUGAGUGGCAGACGGGUGAGUAACACGUGGGAACGUACCCUUCGGUUCGGGACAACUCAGGGAAACUUGAGCUAAUACCGGAUACGCCCUUUGGGGGAAAGGUUUACUGCCGAAGGAUCGGCCCGCGUCUGAUUAGCUAGUUGGUGGGGUAAUGGCCUACCAAGGCGACGAUCAGUAGCUGGUCUGAGAGGAUGAUCAGCCACACUGGGACUGAGACACGGCCCAGACUCCUACGGGAGGCAGCAGUGGGGAAUAUUGGACAAUGGGCGCAAGCCUGAUCCAGCCAUGCCGCGUGUGUGAUGAAGGCCUUAGGGUUGUAAAGCACUUUCGUCCGGGACGAUAAUGACGGUACCGGAAGAAGAAGCCCCGGCUAACUUCGUGCCAGCAGCCGCGGUAAUACGAAGGGGGCUAGCGUUGCUCGGAAUCACUGGGCGUAAAGGGCGCGUAGGCGGCCAUUCAAGUCAGAGGUGAAAGCCCAAGGCUCAACCUUGGAAUUGCCUUUGAUACUGUUUGGCUUGAGACCGGAAGAGGUUAGUGGAACUGCGAGUGUAGAGGUGAAAUUCGUAGAUAUUCGCAAGAACACCAGUGGCGAAGGCGGCUAACUGGUCCGGUUCUGACGCUGAGGCGCGAAAGCGUGGGGAGCAAACAGGAUUAGAUACCCUAGUAGUCC